UGACAUAAUGUUAUCAUCCUCUUUUCUUUGCUAGAUUGAGCUGGUCAAACCUGGUUUGAAUCCAUUCCGCUUCUUCUAAUUUUGUCUCCACCAAGACUCUCAACAAGGGGAUCUCAACUUCUAUUGGUAGCACAUCCUCCAUGCCAUAUACUAGAGAGAAAGGGGUUUCCCCCGUUGAAGUACAGACAACUGUUUGAUAUCCGUGCAAUGCAA
rnacentral:lncRNA from 1 species